UUUGGGGGAGUGCACUCUGACAGCCAGGCCCAGGAUCAACACUAACGUGGUCAGACACUUGUGCGAUGAGCUGCAAAAAUCACAGCAGGCGUGGGGCUCCGGGCAGCCUCCUGGAAAAUGUGACAAAUAGCCGAGCUGCCCACCCUGGGACAUACCUGUGUACACCAGGAUGCGAUUCUGACUAGUAAGUGUAUUAAUUAUGCCCAAGGCCUGGCAAUAACUCUUAGGGAUUCUGUAGCAGAAUUUCCAGGGCAGUGCUCUGAGCACUGUCAGAGGAGGCAGGAGGUGGACCAGGAAUAUUCCCACGUGUGGCCCUAGGCUUCCCUCCAGCCUAAUUGCCAGGUCUGGGCUUAGAUACUGGGGAUACAGCAUUGCAGCAGGGAAUUUGCAAAAUGAAAUGGAACCGUGAAGAAAGGAAAUGAAAAUAAAUCACCCUGUUUCCAUAGUCACCUCCCCCACACUAGUGGACUAUUCUCUCUUAAUCAGCUCCCUCAAACUCCUGCCUCUAGGACCUUCAUUCUCUCUGACUUCUUUGAUCAUGGAGCAUUAAGAUCACCAUAUGUUGGAUAUUGUUAAAUAACAUGAGUGGACACAAGAACAACAGCUCUGGUCAUGGCUGUGACUUGGUUAUAAGUUAACUUUAUGGGUCACUGAGUGUCUGGAAACAAACUAUAAAAAGAAGAAAGGGUGGCCCAGGCAGCUUUCUGUUGGAAAUGGCUGUGACCAGUUGCUUCUGGAAGGGAGAUGUAUUGACUGCAAUAAAACUUGAUAGGCUCAGCACUUGUCUGUUAAGGCUAGAAUCGGAAGUCAACUUUGGACCUGAGUAAUUGGUAUAAAUUUGUGUAUAAGGGCAAGACAGAAGGGAUUUUAUUCCAAGUGGUCAACAAUAUGGUGUCCAGCUGCUGCAUAUGAUCUGCCUGCUCUCUGACCUCUAAUCCCGCGAGACUAUCUGCAUCGUCUGGGGUAAUCCUAAUAUCCAAG
rnacentral:lncRNA from 1 species